rnacentral:tRNA from 1 species
UUUUUGGUGGUCUAGUGGUUAGGAUGCAGCACUCUCAGUGCUGCGGCCCGGGUUCGAUUCCGCUCAGGGAA